ACUAGCCAAUGGGAUUUGUCAAAAAUCCGGAAGAGGAAGUCUAGGUUUUAAGAUUUUUGGUUGAAACUAUUUCAGUGUAACCCCAAAUAAUGGACUACAAUUUAAAAAAAUGUGACUUUGUUCAUAAAAAACAACAAAGAAUUGACAGAAAACAGCAAAGACUUUGCUCAUAUUUUUGGUCUCACAAUGGACAUCAGAAGACGUUAUCUUGGCUGUACGACUUAGAGAGAAAACAAGCAAAGAGAAAGUAAACAGAGAGAAGCAACAGAGAAAUACGAGAGUACACAAUCAAAGACAAAGAAAGAUGAGGAGUAGGCGGGGAAACGGAGGCUGACUUUCUAUCCAAGGAUCUUAACCAGCCGUGAGAUUGGACUGGAAUACCAAAACCAGAUACCUCCCCCCGGGGUUCCGUCCACCUCCAUCUUUACCCCUCAUCACCACGGAAGAGGUUGCCAAGGCAACGGAGCUGGAGGUCAGA